rnacentral:lncRNA from 1 species
CUGCACACAGACACUUGUUUUUAUUUUAUUUCCUCUCGCCUGAUUUACACUUUGUAACACUGUAACCAAUGGGUCUUCCAUAAAACCCCUGGUCAAAUUUAAAUAGCUUAAAUGCCUUGAUAGUGUUGGUUGUUUCUUUAUUUUUUAGUUAUCUGAAUGGCUGUUUGCCUGGAAUAAAUCAUGUCACCAUGUUGUCAAACUAAUAUAGUAAUUAUUCCAAAAUAGAAAUUGCAUGAUAACUUCAUUAGUAACCAGUCUACAAAUAGCCCAUCCUUUCAGCCAACAGACUUAGCACUAAGAAUGAGCUUGGAAUAUUUUGUUACAUUCCAGUUGAUUGAAUUCCGUAUCAUUCUACUGUCUUCUGGCUUCCACUGUUGCUGUUAAGAGUUGGCUACUUCUUCAGGCACUACUCCUGUGUUAUUUGAGAAUGCUAUUUCUCUGUUCUUUCUUAGCCACUCCCACUGUCUCUAACACACACUUGAAGAAAUCUUUGUAUUAAAUUCUCUCUGAUAAAUGCUAAGUGCAGUUUCUGCUUUCCUUUUGAACCAUGUCUGAUAUGCUGUAGUCAUUUUAAAAUGUACAACUGAUCAUUCUAACAUCUGUUGGUUGAUUAUCUGGCUUUACUGCUAUGUUGUGUUGUUUCUUGUAUACUCGAUAUUUUUGU